CUUUACUACAACUUUACAUUGAUUGUAAGAACUAAAUAUGUAGAAUAGGUGGGAGACUAUGAUGUAUUUACGCUAGUAAAUAUGGAGUCGUCAGUGAAAUACCACUUUUUUAUUUCUUAUUAUCUAACCUAUUUCUGUCAAGCAGAAAAGAAACAGUGUAUGGUGGGUAGUUUGACUGGGGCGGUCGCCUCCCAAAAAGUAACGGAGGCGUACGAAGGUAGGCUCAGCUGGGUUGGAAAUCCAGUUUGUGAGUGCAAUGGCAUAAGCCUGCUUGACUGCAAGAUUGACAAAUCGAGCAGAGACGAAAGUCGGUCAUAGUGACCCGGUGGUUUCUGCGAGGAAAGGCCAUCGAUCAACGGAUAAAAGGUA
rnacentral:rRNA from 1 species